AUACGGAGGGUCCGAGAGUUAUCCGGAAUCAUUGGGUUUAAAGGGUCCGUAGGCGGGAAUCUAAGUCAGUGGUGAAAUCUUGCAGCUCAACUGUAAAAUUGCCAUUGAUACUGGAUUUCUUGAAUUAGUGUGAAGUGGUUAGAAUGUGUAGUGUAGCGGUGAAAUGCAUAGAUAUUACACAGAAUACCAAUUGCGAAGGCAGAUCACUAACACUAUAUUGACGCUAAGGGACGAAAGCGUGGGGAGCGAACAGGAUUAGAUACCCUAGUAGUCC
rnacentral:rRNA from 1 species